CGGGUGAGUCGGGUCCUAAGGCGAGGCCGACAGGCGUAGUCGAAUGGAUGAACGGGCUGAUAUUCCCGUACCGGCAGCGAACCGAAACAACCGAGGCCUGGGGCGCUAACCUCCGGGUCCGUGCCGUCUCCCCUUUCGGGGGGUCGCGGCGCGGGCGCGUUGGGAUCCCCCCUCGUAGUAGGUCAGCGCAGGAGUGACGCAUCAGGGCAGCCGGCCGCGGAGGUGGUUUUCCGUGGUCAAGCGUUCGAGCCCGUCCCGCAGGCAAAUCCGCGGGGCAUCGGGGCGAGGCGUGAUGAUGGGGGCCUUACGGCCCGAAUCCGGUGAUCCGUGGUGCCGAGAAAAGCUUCGGCGUCAGGCGCGUUGCCGCCCGUACCCCAAACCGACACUGGUGGUCAGGUAGAGAAUACCAAAGCGAUCGAGCGAAUCCUGGUCAAGGAACUCGGCAAAUUGCUCCCGUGCCUUCGGCAUAAGGGAGACCCCCUGCGGUGAUGAGCGGCGGGGGGGUGGCACAGGCCAGGGGGUAGCGACUGUUUACCAAAAACACAGGAGCGUGCGAAGGCGCAAGCCGCUGUAUACGCUCUGACGCCUGCCCGGUGCCGGAAGGUUAAGAGGAUCCGUCAGCUUUCUGCGAAGCGGUGAAUUCAAGCCCCGGUAAACGGCGGUGGUAACUAUAACCAUCCUAAGGUAGCGAAAUUCCUUGUCGGGUAAGUUCCGACCUGCACGAAUGGCGUAACGACUUCCCCACUGUCUCGACCAGGAGCUCGGCGAAAUUGCAGUACGAGUAAAGAUGCUCGUUAAGCGCAGAAGGACGAAAAGACCCCGGGACCUUUACUAUACCUUGGUAUUGGCAUUAGGCGCGGAUUGUGUAGCAUAGGCGGGAGGCUUCGAGGCGGGUGCGCCAGCAUCCGCGGAGCCGCAAGGUGAAAUACCGCUCUGUUCUCGUUUGAUGUCUAACCUCGAACAGUCAUCCUGUUCAGGGACAGUGCCUGGCGGGUAGUUCAACUGGGGCGGUUGCCUCCCAAAGAGUAACGGAGGCGCUCAAAGGUCCGCUCGGCCCGGUUGGCAAUCGGGUGUCGAGUGUAAUCGCACAAGCGGGCUUGACUGCGAGAUCGACGGAUCGAGCAGGGACGAAAGUCGGAGAUAGUGAUCCGGUGCCGGCGCACGGGCGCGGCAUCGCUCAACGGAUAAAAGGUACCCCGGGGAUAACAGGCUGAUCAUUCCCAAGAGUCCAUAUCGACGGGAUGGUUUGGCACCUCGAUGUCGGCUCGUCGCAUCCUGGGGCUGGAGCAGGUCCCAAGGGUUCGGCUGUUCGCCGAUCAAAGCGGCACGCGAGCUGGGUUCAGAACGUCGUGAGACAGUUUGGUCUCUAUCCUCUGCGCUCGUUGGAAUCUUGAGGAGGCCUGCCCAUAGUACGAGAGGACCUGGGUGGACGAACCUCUGGUAUGCCGGUCGUCACGCCAGUGGCGCGGCCGGUUGGCUACGUUCGGAAGGGAUAACCGCUGAAAGCAUCUAAGCGGGAAGCCUUCUCCAAGAUAAGGAUUCCAUGCGGCCCCGAGCCGCUGAAGACCCCAUGCAGAACACGUGGU
rnacentral:rRNA from 1 species